rnacentral:rRNA from 1 species
UUCUUUUUAGAUAAAAAGUAUCUUCUGCCAAUUGAAAUUUAAAAGGCCGCCUAGCGCUAAGGUAGCGUAAUCAAAAGUUUAUUAAUUGUGAACCAGCAUGAAAGAAGAAUCCUAACAGAACUAUUUUUAAGUGAGAGUCAAACUUAAAGAAAGCUUAAAAAUCUCUCUUUUCUAGUAGACGAGAAGACCCUAAAAGCUUUCUAUCUAUAGUUAUUUGGGGAAAAUUGUUAAAAUUAAUCUUAAAAGAUUUAAAUGAAAAAACAAAAAAAUAAGCUACUUUAGGGAUAACAGAGUAAUUUAUAAAAAAAGAACGCAUAAAAUUAUAAGCUUACGACCUCGAUGUUGGAUUCUCUAGUCCAACCCCCGUAACCGGGGGUUGGGAGUAGACUGUUCGUUUUUUAAACAGAG